AUUGAACUCAGGGCUUUUGCACUAAGCUACAUCCCCAGCUCUUAAAAAAACAUGUUUUUUGGAGACAAGUUCUCCCUAUGUCCCUAGGUUGCCCAGAAUAGGGUAACCUUGUGUCCCCCUGCUUCAGCCUCCUAGAAAGCUAGGAUUGCCGGCAUGUGGCAACAGGCCUGGCAGAGUUUUGCUUUUCAACCUGUUCCAAACCUCAGACAAAGUGGACAAUCCUUAACUCCAUUCCUAUUCUUUUCUUUUUUUUUUUUUUUCCUUCUUCUGAGUCUUUUAAACAAACUGGAAUCUGCUAGUAAAGGACCUAAGGCAACCUCUUAACAAUGUAAAGGAGGAAAUCGAAGGAGUGGAGGCCUGAAUCCAGAAAUGGAAACUUCUGCCACUUUCCAAAGAAACAAAUGACUGACUCCAAUCCUAGGGCACUUGAAUGAAGAGGAUUUGUUCUGCCCUCACUGGGCUGCCAUCCAAAAAUGUGGCCCCAACGCAAGGCCAGGGUUGAGGUCAGGCGGCCUCACGUGCACGCGACCGGCGAGGGCUCACAGGGCCUCUCUCUCAGAAGGGCCCUGUGCUUGGCUUAAUCCUCUGUGGUUGGCAUCUUGAGAUCCUUCAGCAUUUCGUCUUUGAACUUGUGUUUGUAAGUCAAGUCCCAGGACUGGGGACACGAGCGUGAGCAGAGGAGAUGUGCGCCGUGCUGGUGCAGCUCGGGGUUCGGAGCGUCCAGGCAAGCACUGGGUCACGUGCCACAGAGUCAGCGGGUCCUGGGAGGCCGCGCGCAAAAGCGAGUUUGCAUCCUGAGAAACAGGUUAGGCAGCCUGGCCUUUCUUACUUGCGUUUUUCUGUCACUGGGCCACAAGUGAAACAGGAAAUGCAGAUGACAGAGGAGGAAAGGGAGAGGGACAUGGACAGUUCCAAGCUCCUUUCCUUCUUGCUAGCUAAAGGCAGAGAGCUGGUGGGCGUUUCUGCAGCAGGGAGUGACCUAAAAACAGCGGGCUCAGAGUCGAGCACAUUUCCACUGCCCUGCUGAGAUCAGCACACGGCACGCACAGCCUGUGGAAGAGGAACCUUGCGGUGGUGACCUCCAACAAGCCGGACACCACCAGCCCACUUCUGAUCAUUGCUGAGCCCUUUAAACAUACGAGGUUCUAUUAGUAAAUGACCUGCACUGAUGUUUUAAAAAUGCAAUUGAUAUAAAGCAGAAAGUUAGAUAGUGGGUAGUAAAAUCACACCAUCAGUUACACAGUCUUUGAUUCAUUUCUUAAGGUAAAGAAACAAAUAUUUCAUGUGUGUUGAAAUUUGGCUGACAAAAAUCUUUAAAGCCAUGAAGUCCGUGUUGGAAGGAAAAAAUGAAGGAAGGAAGGAAGGAAGGCAGGGAGGGAGGAAAGAAGAAAGGAAAAAAGGAUCACUAAGUUGGGAUGAGGCUGAGAGUCACUGUGAGGUGACCCCACACCCAUCAAAGCAGGAAUCCUGAUCACUGGCUCAAAAAUAGAUCAGGAAACCACCAGCGUGGUUUUCUUUCGCAUUUCCUGACCCUCUGUCAUACCCGUAACUCUUGGGAUUUACAACAAUCUCUAAUCCUUGAAGAAUGGCCAUGUGCUCUCUCAGGGGGCAGUGGGAAAGGCAGGGUGAGGCUGGUGGGCACAGCUGCGCCCUCCCCCUACACCAGGGCUCCAGGAAAGGCACCCCAGGGAGACACAGGGUGUUGGGCUGGCUUCAGGCACAGCCAGAAGGAGACCACAGGCUUCCGACAGCCCACCGGGAGAGGUGUGCUAGAUGCCGGGAGAGGGGUGUCAGAUGCACGGAGAGGGGUGUGGGAUGCAGCGGAAACAGCAGUCACACUUCACACCCCCGUCAUCAGGACUCCUUCAUACCAUGAUCACCACAUGUCUGGGGGACACUUGGGGGUUCCUGCCUCGCUGUGAAGCUGAGCCCUGAGGGGGAACCCAGGCAUGCACACACCCCACGAGGAGUUACGAGGUCACUCCCUUGACUUACAGAUGGGGAAGCUGAAGCGUUAGCAAGGUCCCCUAACUCUCAACAUCCACGGAGAGGAAGGGGCAGAGCCAGGACGCAGCGCUGGGCUGGACUGGCUGCCCACGCAGGCUGCCUCCCCCGAGUUCCGGCUGAGGCUUCGCUGCGUGCCACACAGCCUGAGUGCAGCUGGUUUUUCUUCUUUUCCUGGCUUGAGCUUAAUCUCAGCCGCCAGAGUUCAGCGGCAGCACUGGGUCUUUGGGUCUCUCUCAGGAAGCUGGAGUUCAGGGUUCAUCACAGGCACCGGGUGGACACGUGCCCGUUGUGAAUGGGCCGCCAGCCUCUCCCCACCGCUAUCUGCACUGUACUGUGACGUCCUCAGGGAGAAGUCUGCUGCCCUUGGGAACCCACGGGAGUCAGCCAAAGGACAGUCACGUUCAGAAGCAAGCUUGGCGGUCUUUAGGAGUCAACACGAGGGUCCGUUUUUCACUCCUGCUUCUUCUCUCCACUGUGCAUGGUUUCCCGCCUCAGCAUCCCACCUAGAGCAACCACACGAAGUGAGGCCACCUCCUCCUCCGUUGUGGAUGCCUUAGUUACGUUUCUCGUCCCUGAGACACAUCCCCACCAUGAGCAGCUUGAAGGAAGGGAGUCCGUUUGGGUUCACAGUUACAGUCCCCGGUCAGCAUGGCAGAGGGGCAAGGCGGAGCAAGGUUGCUUACAUCAGGCUGGCCAGGAAACAGAGGGAGAUGGGAGGAGCCUGGGAGAGAGAUAAACCCUUCCGGGUCAUGCUCCCAAGGACCCACCUCUUACAGGAAGUCAGCUAUACUGCCCCCUGCCCUGGUUCAGUCACCUUCCAAAAGCCUGUCCUCUGGGCCCAUGAGGCUUUGGGGACAUUCUUGAUCUAAGCCAGAACAGUGGGGAUGGCCUUUAGUGCUCCCUUCUGGAGUUUAGGAAAAGCAGUGGUAAACAUGUAGUCUGCCAAAAAACCGGGCACAGGCCGGACACAGCAGUCGCCUGCUGCCAUUUGCAAAUGGAUUGAUAGGAAGAGACAGAACGCGAGUGUUUUACCGGGAGGUCAGCCUGGGAACCCUGGGAAGCUGCUGUAAGUAUAGGUCGGGGCGGUGCCACCAUGAGCCUGGAUUCUGGGCUUACUCACUGCUCAGGGAAGAGUUUGCCCUUAUGCCAACUAGUCAAGAAAAAUUACGCUGGUGGGCACCUACUGGGGACAGGUGCAACCAAACAGUCUUCCUGGCAACACAGCCAAGGGAGGACAGUGCAGACACAGACACUGCGGCUUAUCUGUCGGGUGUCCAGUGCGUCCUCGGUCCAGUGCCGGCCUCACAUGGCCUAGAGUUCCCCAGGCCCCUUGCUGCUGCAUUGGGUGCAGUCAUUUUCACAUCAACUUUGAGCCAAAGUGCACGGAAUGGAACUAGGUGCAUUAAACAGCCACAGGGUGAAUUCCAGGGCUGAGCAGAAAUGACUUCGGAAUCUCACUCUGAACCAAAGUGCAUAACAGACUAGACAGACCAGGCGGCUAUGUCAAAAUACCAGAAACCAGAAGGGACACAGGGACACUGCGUCCCUCAAGACCUUCAGGCAUGUGCAAACCUAAAAGUACAGGACUCCAGCCUGAGGCCAUCCUUGCUUGUACUGUGGUUUAAACUCCCCUCCCCUCCACUGUGGGCUUUGGACAGCAUGACACUUCCUCUAAAAAUUUGUUUGGUCAAACACCCCCCUCCCAGCGGGUGGGUGGGCCGGGUCAGGAACCCAGCUGGGCCACGACUCCUGUCAGGCCCCAGCUAAGGAUCCUCAUAACCCCAGGACCUUGAGAGACUCAGUCCCAGCACCUGUGGAGGGAGUGAGCUCAUCUCACUGGCCGACUCCCACCCUUUGAGGGAACUCUCACUUCUUUCACUCAUUCUUGUGACUCCUUCUAAAUAAAUCUUAUUUUUGCUAA